rnacentral:rRNA from 1 species
AGAGUUUGAUUAUGGCUCAGGAUGAACGCUGGCGGCGUGCCUAACACAUGCAAGUCGAACGGACCUUUUAAUGACAGAGACUUCGGUCGACGAAGUUUAAGGUUAGUGGCGGACGGGUGAGUAACGCGUGGAGAACCUGCCCUGUACUGGGGGAUAACAGUGAGAAAUUACUGCUAAUACCGCAUAAGCGCACGGGACCGCAUGGUCUUGUGUGAAAAACUCCGGUGGUACAGGAUGGCUCCGCGUUGGAUUAGCCAGUUGGCGGGGUAACGGCCCACCAAAGCGACGAUCCAUAGCCGGCCUGAGAGGGUGAACGGCCACAUUGGGACUGAGACACGGCCCAGACUCCUACGGGAGGCAGCAGUGGGGAAUAUUGCACAAUGGGGGGAACCCUGAUGCCAGCGACGCCGCGUGAAGGAAGAAGUAUCUCGGUAUGUAAACUUCUAUCAGCAGGGAAGAAAAUGACGGUACCUGACUAAGAAGCCCCGGCUAACUACGUGCCAGCAGCUGC